AUUGAACGCUGGCGGCAUGCUUUACACAUGCAAGUCGAACGGUAACAGGUUAAGCUGACGAGUGGCGAACGGGUGAGUAAUGCAUCGGAACGUGCCCGGUCGUGGGGGAUAACGCAGCGAAAGCUGCGCUAAUACCGCAUACGAUCUAAGGAUGAAAGCGGGGGACCGUAAGGCCUCGCGCGAUCGGAGCGGCCGAUGUCAGAUUAGGUAGUUGGUGGGGUAAAGGGUCACCAAGCCAACGAUCUGUAGCUGGUCGGAGAGGACGACCAGCCACACGGGGACUGAGACACGGCCCAGACUCCUACGGAAGGCAGCAGUGGGGAAUUUUGGACAAUGGGCGAAAGCCUGAUCCAGCAAUGCCGCGUGCAGGAAGAAGGCCUUCGGGUUGUAAACUGCUUUUGUACGGAGCGAAAAGGUCUCCUCUAAUACAGGGGGCUCAUGACGGUACCGUAAGAAUAAGCACCGGCUAACUACGUGCCAGCAGCCGCCGUAA
rnacentral:rRNA from 1 species